rnacentral:rRNA from 1 species
GCCUACAUGAAGCUGGAGUUACUAGUAAUCGCAGAUCAGAAUGCUGCGGUGAAUGCGUUCCCGGGUCUUGUACACACCGCCCGUCACACCACGGAAGUUGGGGGCGCCCGAAGCCACUUAGCUAACCCAUUUGGGAAGCGAGUGUCGAAGGUGAAAUCAAUAACUGGGGUGAAGUCGUAACAAGGUAAC